UCUGCAUUUAAUUAGCUCUCAAGCAGUCUGAUUAUCACUUAGGCCUUUUCUGAUAAAUGGCGUUAAUUCACAGCAAUAUGCUAAUUAAAUCACUUGCAUUUUGUGCAGUUGACAGAGAAAAGGGGCUGAGCCAUGAUGAUUAUAUCCAGAUGGAGAUGCCCCUUACUCACUGGAUUCAUGGAAUACCACUCGCAGGAGAUGCAGCCCCAACUCAGCUGAAGGCAGAGUCCCUGCCUCAGGGAUGUCAUCACAAUCUGGUCCGUGCUUUGUACGGUGGCAAACCCGGCAUGGGGAUGGCGGCAGCAGGCAUUUUCCCUGAGCUCCUCUGUGUCUGUUCCCACAGGAGCCUGGCAUGGGGACCACACACAGGCGCCGAGGUCAGGAGGAACGGGUCCAGAAGCAGGGGUAUGUCUGGGGGCUGAGAGGCUGCGGCAGGUGAGGUUUGACUCCGAAGGGCACUUUGGGAACGCACCUCCGCUGGCAGGGUGACGGCACUGGGUUAGAAUAGGCAUUUGUAAGCUGAGAAAAUCGAGACAAGAUGCGGAACGAAAUGCCAGUCAUUUCUGUAUCUGUGAAUUCUUAAUGUGCGGAAUAAAACGUUAGCAUGUAACA
ensembl:lncRNA